ACGUCAAGACACGUAGUCAUAACUUCUUCGACUGCCUUAAGUUGUGUUUUUCCGGUCCUCGGCCAGGAGAGCUCUAAAGAAGAAAAUAGAUUCUUCUAGAAGACUUUAACGGUCGGUAAGUUCUCUUGGGUGGAAAAGGAUGCCACGUGUAUCAUCAGUCAUGGAAACCUGUGUGGUACAGAGUACAGCAUUCCGUUCCCUGUUCAUCUGCGUAGCGUUAUUCAGUCUGGCUGUACUCUUCAAACAGAUGGCCUCCAAAAACGGACCCUGCCCAACAGUUUGUACAUGUGCAGAGACAUCACGCCCGGACAUGAUGCACGGAGGGCCGCUUGACAACGUUCAUCCCGAGCAGCUGACGCCACCUUGCGGGAAAGGCAUGGAAUGCGACAUCACCGCUACUGUUGGCACACUGUCCGGCGGAGUCUUCAUCGGCGUCAUCAUUGCUUGUUUGGUUUUUGUCUUUCGACAAGAGCACGACAGUCUAGCCCGUCCUGUUUGUGGGAAACAAACAGAAACAUGUGCUGAGCUAGUCGAUAAAGAGGAGCCUCAGAACCUAUUUGAAACGGCCGACGAAGUUUUAUUUUACUACUAAGUUACUUAGAACGAACUUGAGUGACCCCUGUACACGUACGUUGACGCACUAUAUUGUUUGACAUCAGAUAUUACUUGUUUUGCUGGUGGGAGGGACUGGGAUACGUUAGCGCCUCGUUGGUACAAGUAAGGGAAAAACUAUUUCAUCCGAGAUAACAUGUGGUUUGUUGUACCGGUACUGUGAUAUUUACCCAACCCUUCAUAUUCGCAAUAAAUAUACUUUAGACAGUCAUUUCCGGUUUCGCCUUGUAAUAAUUUAGAUUCCGUCAGCAAUUCUGGGUUGCCCUAAUUAG